rfam:Cladophialophora carrionii strain KSF Contig1623, whole genome shotgun sequence.
UAGGAUGAGAAAUAUUUGAUUAGCUCUAGAUCAAGAGCCGCAACUAUUGUGGCGAUGAGCGACACUUUGCAUGUAUUACCUGAAUG